rnacentral:rRNA from 1 species
CAUGCAAGUCGAACGGAAAUCUUUUAGAUUUUAGUGGCGAACGGGUGAGUAACACGUAAGCAACCUGCCUUUAAGACGAGAAUAACAAUUGGAAACAGUUGCUAAGGCUGGAUAGGAAAUAAAAAGGAAUCUUUUUAUUUUUAAAAGACCUUUUUCGGAAGGUAUGCUUAAAGAGGGGCUUGCGUCACAUUAGUUAGUUGGUAGGGUAAAGGCCUACCAAGACGAUGAUGUGUAGCUGGACUGAGAGGUUGAACAGCCACAUUGGGACUGAGACACGGCCCAAACUCCUACGGGAGGCAGCAGUAGGGAAUUUUCGGCAAUGGAGGAAACUCUGACCGAGCAACGCCGCGUGAACGACGAAGUACUUCGGUAUGUAAAGUUCUUUUAUUGAAGAAGAAACAAUAGUGGAAAAACUAUCUUGACGUUAUUCAAUGAAUAAGCCCCGGCUAACUAUGUGCCAGCAGCCGCGGUAAUACAUAGGGGGCGAGCGUUAUCCGGAAUUAUUGGGCGUAAAGGGUGCGUAGGCGGUUUAAUAAGUCUCUAGUUUAAUUUCAGCGCUUAACGUUGUCCUGCUAGAGAAACUGUUUAACUAGAGUGAGAUAGAGGUAAGCGGAAUUCCAUGUGUAGCGGUAAAAUGUGUAAAUAUAUGGAGGAACACCAGAGGCGUAGGCGGCUUACUGGGUCUUUACUGACGCUGAUGCACGAAAGCGUGGGGAGCAAACAGGAUUAGAUACCCUGGUAGUCCACGCCGUAAACUAUGGGUACUAAGUGUCGGGGUUAAACUCGGUACUGAAGUUAACACAUUAAGUACUCCGCCUGAGUAGUACGUACGCAAGUAUGAAACUUAAAGGAAUUGACGGGAUCCCGCACAAGCGGUGGACCAUGUUGUUUAAUUCGAAGAUACACGAAAAACCUUACCAGGUCUUGACAUACUCUGCAAAGCUAUAGAAAUAUAGUGGAGGUUAUCAGGGAUACAGGUGGUGCAUGGUUGUCGUCAGCUCGUGUCGUGAGAUGUUAGGUUAAGUUCUAAAACGAGCGCAACCCCUGUCGUUAAUUGCCAGCACGUUAUGGUGGGGACUUUAGCGAGACUGCCAAUGAAAAAUUGGAGGAAGGUGGGGAUUACGUCAAAUCAUCAUGCCCCUUAUGAUCUGGGCCACAAACGUGAUACAAUGGCUAUUACAAAGAGUAGCUGAAACGCGAGUUUUCGGCAAAUCUCAAAAAAAUAGUCUCAGUUCGGAUUGAAGUCUGCAACUCGACUUCAUGAAGUUGGAAUCGCUAGUAAUCGCGAAUCAGCAUGUCGCGGUGAAUACGUUCUCGGGGUUUGUACACACCGCCCGUCAAACCACGAAAGUGGACAAUACCCGAAAGCGACAGCCUAACUGCGUAAGCA